rnacentral:rRNA from 1 species
UGCAGGCUGCAACUCGCCUGCAUGAAGUCGGAAUUGCUAGUAAUCGCAGAUCAGCAUGCUGUGGUGAAUACGUUCCCGGGCCUUGUACACACCGCCCGUCACACCAUGGGAGUCGGUAACACCCAAAGUUGGUAGUCUAACCGCAAGGAGGACGCCGCCUAAGGUGGGAUUGAUGACUGGGGGUGAAGUCGUAACAAGGUAGC